CCUACGGGAGGCAGCAGUGGGGAAUAUUGCACAAUGGGCGAAAGCCUGAUGCAGCGACGCCGCGUGAGGGAAGACGGUUUUCGGAUUGUAAACCUCUGUCUUAUGUGACGAUAAUGACGGUAGCAUAGGAGGAAGCCACGGCUAACUACGUGCCAGCAGCCGCGGUAAUACGUAGGUGGCAAGCGUUGUCCGGAAUUACUGGGUGUAAAGGGAGCGUAGGCGGGAAUGCAAGUUGAAUGUUAAAUCUACCGGCUCAACCGGUAGCUGCGUUCAAAACUGUAUUUCUUGAGUGAAGUAGAGGCAGGCGGAAUUCCUAGUGUAGCGGUGAAAUGCGUAGAUAUUAGGAGGAACACCAGUGGCGAAGGCGGCCUGCUGGGCUUUUACUGACGCUGAGGCUCGAAAGCGUGGGGAGCAAACAGGAUUAGAUACCCUGGUAGUC
rnacentral:rRNA from 1 species